AUUAAGCGACUUAAUGCUGCUAAGGCACGUAUGGAGGUCUAUGAUCAAGAUUCAGACUCUGACAUAAAGGAGCUGCUUCAAGCCUUUGAUCCCAAGAUAAAGAAAUCCCCACCUUGUUCAAAGAUGCCUUCGUCUCUGCAUUUAUCUCAAGCACAGCCUGCAAAGUCAGUCCAACCUGCAACAGAUAAACAUCAUGAGGACACCAUGCUUCUCAAAAAGCUCUAGCAGAGUCCAUCAGUGCAAGUCUUCUACCCAUACCAGAGCCAGUGGUGUUCAGCGGAGACCCACUAAGGUUCAGGGACUGGAAAAUGUCAUUUCUAACAUUGAUAGACAGAAAGGCAAUACAAGUAAAUGAGAAAUUAUAUUACUUGCGCAAGUAUGUUGGCGGUCCAGCAAAGACUGCCAUUGAGAGCUACUUCCUGUUAGGUCAGCUUACCAUGCAGCUUGGGGCAUUCUUGAAGAAAGAUAUGGAAGCCCGUUUGUGAUACCUAAAGCCUUCAGGGACAAGCUUAACUCAUGGCCAAAGAUAGGAUCAAAGGAAAGCUGUGUCUAGAAAUCCUUGGAGAUUGUAAUGAAAAUCAGAAGAUUCUUUUAAAGCUUCCUGAUUGGCUGACGUCAGGAUGAAAUCGAAGAGUUGUGGAAAUACAAGAAAAAACUGGAGCGUUUCCUACUUUCAGUGCGAUUGUGGAGUUUGUCACAAAGGAAGCCAAGAUAGCCUACAAUCCAGUGACAUCUCUGCAUGCCUUAAAAUUAAGUGAGGGUCACACAACAAGACCUUCAAAGACCAGGAGUAUUGGUGCAAAGGUGCUAGCAAGUAGCACUGGUGAGAAGGCAGAUGUGACAAAGUGCGUCUUUUGUGAGAAGCUAGGGCAUGACCUCCAUGUAUGCCGGAAAUUUAUGGAAAAGGUUGUUGCUGAACGAGUCAAGUUUAUACAGACCAAAAGGCUAUGCUUUGGAUGUUUGAAGACAGGCCACCACUCAAAGGCUUGUGAAAGCAGAAGUGUCUGUGAAACCUGUAAGAGGAAACAUCCAACUUGUCUACACAAGGACCGUGUUAAAGAAAGAAAAGAAGUACAAUCUAAGGAUUCAAAUGAAUGAGGGAAAUGGAAGCAACCAUUUAAGGAAGUGGACAAAACAAAGGAAAGUAAAGAUGUUCCAACUGAAGCAACAUCUAACAAGGUUACACAAGGUGUUAUGAGCACUCAUACUUCUACCAUCAUUCCAGUGUGGCUCUCCACAGUUAGUGAACCAGAUAGUGAAGUAUUGAUUUGUGCCCUUCUGGAUACCCAGAGUGAUACAACCUUCAUGCUCCAAGAAGUAGCAGAUGUUCUUAACACAGAAAAGAAACCAGCGCAACUGAAAUUGUCCACAAUGUCCUCAAGAAGUACAAUCAUACCAUGUCAAAGAUUGACUGGUCUGCAGGUGAGAGGGUUUUACUCUCCAAAGAAAAUCUCACUUCCUGUGACCUACUCAAGAGAUUUCAUCCCUGCUAACAAGGCACAUAUCCCUACACCCAAGACUGCAAGAGCAUGGUCUCAUUUGGAGCAUAUUGCAGAGAAGGAUUGCUCCCCAACAGACCUGUGACAUUGGCCUUCUUGUAGGUUACAAUUGUCCACAAGCACUCUUACCAAGAGAAGUAGUGUCUGGAGAAGAUGGUCAGCCAUUUGCUCAAAGAACAGAUCUCGGCUGGAGCAUAGUUGGCUCUAGCGAUCCCUGUUUUGACAAUGGUGAUGCUAUCGGACUAAGUAAUAGAAUUGUUGUCAAACAAGUGACACCAAGUUCUGGUCAAAGUCUUGCAAAUGAAGUACGAUACAUCUGUCAGAGUCAAAUUACAGAACUGGUCACACCACCAGAUGUACUCAAAAUGCUUGAGUCAGACUUCAAUGAAAGAUCAGUAGAGGAGCAUCACAUCUCGCAAGACGACCUGAGGUUUCUGCAAAUAAUGGAGGAUGGUUUUCGACAGAAGGAUGACAGUCAUUAUGAAAUGCCUCUGCCGUUCAGGAAAGACAAGCCACAAUUGCCAGACAAUAAGCAGUGCGCUAUUCAUCGUCUCAAAUGCUUGGAAAAACGACUUGAGAGAUGACCAAUACUACAAGGAUUAUGUAGCAUUCAUGACGGAAACAAUUAGUCGCGGAGAAGCUGAAAGGGUCCCAAUUGAUGAGCUAAACAACCAACCCUUGUGGUAUAUCCCACACCAUGGGGUGUAUCAUCCCCAGAAACCAACAAAGAUUCGGGUUGUCUUUGAUUGUUCAGCAAGGUUCCAAGAUAUGUCACUGAACGAUUACUUGUUAACUGGUCCUGAACUGACCAAUACCUUAGUUGGUGUCCUCUGCCGAUUUCGUAUGGCUCCAAUAGCUGUAAUGUGCGACAUUGAACGUAUGUUCCAUCAGUUUCACGUCAAGGCAGAGGAUCAAGACUUUCUUAGGUUCCUCUGGUGGGACGAAGGUAAUCUCGAGGCUCAACCUGCAGUGUACAGAAUGAAGGUGCACUUGUUUGGGGCCGCAUCAUCACCUGGCUGUGCCAACUUUGGCUUGAAGCACAUAGCAGCCCAAGGUCAAGAUCGCUUCAGUGAAGCUUCCAUGAAGUUCAUAGAAAGAAAUUUCAAUGUUGAUGACGGACUUACAAGUGUAUCAACUGUGGAUGAAGCAAUACAGCUGGUCAGAGAAGCGAGGCAACUAUGUUGUGCUGGCAAGUUGCGGUUGCACAAGUUCAUAUCUAACAGUCAGCAAGUUAUGGCAUCAAUUCCUAAGGAAGAAUGUGCUGAGAGGGCCAAUAACUUGGACAUGGAUUUGGGAGAAUCACACAUUGAGAGAGCCCUUGGAGUUCAAUGGUGUGUUACAUCAGACCAUUUCCAGUUCAGAGUAAUUGUCAAAGAACAGCCACUCUCUAGAAAAGGAAUUUUGUCAACAGUUGCUUCUAUUUAUGACCCACUUGGAUUUAUUGCUCCAUUUGUUCUUGUGGGGAAAAAAUUCUGCAACAGCUGAAAGAGUCGGAUGGGAUGACCCACUCCCUGAUCAUCUACGACCACAAUGGGAGUCUUGGCUUUUGGAGUUACCACAUUUGACUGACAUAAGAAUCCCGCGCUGCCAUGUUCCACAUACGUUUGGGAAGGUUCAACGGUAUGAACUCCAUCACUUUGCUGACGCAAGUGUAACAGGAUAUGGGGGAUGCACUUACCUCAGGGUGACCAGUGCAUCGGAUGAAGUUCAUUGUUCGUUGGUCGAGGGCAAGGCAAGGGUCACUCCCACAAAGGUCACCACAAUCCCAAGGCUUGAACUGACGGCAGCUGUUGUAGCAGUCCGAACAAGUGACUUGCUUAAGAAAGAAUUGGAGAUCAAGGAUCUAGAGGAAUACUUCUGGACAGACUCAAGAGUGGUACUUGGGUACAUUAAUAACGAGGCCAGACGUUUCCACGUGUUCGUGGCAAAUCGCAUACAGCGUAUCAAGCAAAGCACAGACCCUAAGCAAUGGAACCAUAUGAGCUUGGAAGACAAUCCAGCAGAUCAUGCUUCCAGAGGUCUUAUGGCUAAAGAGCUAAUCGCUUCCAAUUGGUUUACUGGUCCAACGUUUAUGUGGCAGAAUAAGAUUCAGAGUAGAGAUGCUAAGGUGGGAGAAGUUGACAUCGACGAUCCAGAGCUUCGGAAGGCCCAAGUCUUUAAGACUCAGGCCAAGGAAGAAUCACUGCUAAUUGACCGUAUCCAAAGGUUUUCAGAUUGGGGAAAAGCUGUAAAGGCUAUUGCUAGGAUCAAACGAUUUGCCAAGGAAAUCAAAGAUUUACAGCCAAAGACCUGUAAGGCAACAAGUCUGGAAGAAAGGAAAGAAGCCGAACUUACCAUCAUUCGAAUGGUGCAGGAAUACAUCUUUCCUGAAGAGAUCCAAAGCCUGCAACAAAAGGAAGAAGUACCAAAAACAAGACAAACAGAUAACAUAAAUUAAACCCAUUCUUGGACGAGCAUGGUGUUCUCAGGGUGGGUGGACGCUUGGAGCAUGCUGCAUUGCAUCCAGAUGUGAAACAUCCAGUCAUCUUGCCAAGGAAGAGUCAUGUGUCGGUCUUACUUAUCAAGCACUAUCAUGAAAAGAUACAACAUCAGGGUUGAGGUAUGACUCUGAAUGAGCUAAGAUAAAAUGGCGUCUGGAUUGUGGGUGGCAGCAGUGCAGUGUCCUCUUACAUCUAUAAGUGCACAAAAUGCAGAAAGUUCAGAAGAUCCGUUGAGAUACAAAGAAUGGCCAAUCUACCUCCAGAACGUUUGGAAGCAACACCACCGUUUGUUUAUUGCGGAAUGGAUUGCUUUGGGCUGUUCUAUGUAAAAGAAGGAAGGAAGGAGAUGAAGCGUUAUGGGUUAUUACUUACCUGUAUGUGCUCUCACGCGAUACACAUAGAAAUGCUGGAUGACCCAAGUACAAAUGCAUUCAUCAAUGCUCUACGUGCCUUCAUCGCAAUUCGUGGUCCAGUUCGUCAGCUUAGAUCCGUUCAAGUCACUAACUUUGUCGGUGCAAGGCAUGAGUUAACUGAAGCGUUGAAGGACAUGAAUCAAGAAUGUGUAAAGGAGUUAGGUUGCGAAUUUGUAAUGAACACCCCAGCAGCAAGCCACAUGGGUGGAGUCUGGGAAAGACAAAUUAGGACAAUUCGAAGCGUGUUGACAUCCAUUUUGGAUCAGUCAUCACGCAGACUUGACAGUUCAUCCUUACGAACUUACUUCUACGAAGUCAUGGCUAUAGUUAAUAGCAGGCCCCUUAACUACUGAACAUCUGAAUGAUCCUUCUGGACCACAGCCCCUUACACCGAAUCAUAUUUUGACAAUGAUGUCGUCAGUAAUCCUACCACCACCUGGGAAGUUUGUUAAGGAAGACAUUUACCUGCGAAAAAGAUGGCGCAGAGUUCAGUACCUGGCCAACGAAUUCUGGUUGCGAUGGAAAAGAGAAUAUCUGCUAAAUUUGCAACAAAGGCAGAAAUGGCAUGAGAAAUGCAGAAAUGCAAAGAUUGAUCAUGUAGUGAUAGUAAGAGAUGACACUGCACCAUGUAACCAGUGGAAAUUGGCAAGGGUUAUUGACGUUUAUCCUGGAGCAGAUGGACAUGUAAGAAAAGUGAAGUUGUUGAUUGGAGAUUCAACACUGGAUUCAAAGGGCAAGCGAACAAUCAGAAAGCCACUCCAAUUUGAAAGACCCAUUCAGAAGACAGUGACACUGCUUGAAGCAGACGGAUAGUCACGCUACGUGUCUUCACCUUACCUGGGGUCAGUUCUUAGUUAUAUUAUAAACUAAAUAGUUAAGGUUUAAUAAGUUUCUUAGAAGAUAAAAAAUGUUUGAUUUGAAGUACUUGAAGGAAAUCAGAAGUGAUUUGGUGGGAGUGUAACUGCCAGAGAGUUUUUGUGUUUAUUAUUUUAAUUAACACAUUUUCUUGAUAAUGUUAUUUUAUGCAUACUGUUGUGGAAAUUGGCAUGUGUUGCACUGGGGAAUUUAAUUGGUGACACACACUUGACCAAGCAGGUGGCAGCCAAGGCACUCCUGCGUAGCAUGCUCAUACAGCAUCUUAAGUGCUCAACGAUAGUUGGAAAUUUAAAGUUAAAAGAAAGCUAAGGCAUUUACAACAAGUUUAACCUAUUCCCUUUGGUUGUGCGGCCAAUGAGGUCCCAGAGGAAAUUGAGAUGGAGAGCUUCUGGACUGAAAUGGCUACCCGAAAACAUGAGGUAAGAAUUAUUAUUCACCAAGAAGACAGUGGAAAUACACUCUCACGCAUUGUGUUCCCCCCCUUUUGACCGUUGUAAAAGUAUGCUGUAGGUUGAUGCAGGGUCAGACUGGCCAUCGGGAGACUCGGGAGAUUUUCCGAACGGCCGGUCAAACAAACGGCCGCUACGGCCACGGCACUAUUCAAGAAAAAAUAGUUUACGCUUACUUGGUACGCUUACUUGAAUGGUAUUGAGGACGGCCUCAAUACCAUUCAACUGUUUAACUGGAGCGAUACAAAAUCCAAAGGGUGGGGGUAGGCAUUUCCCCCAUGUAAACUUGAACGGUGCACUUGUCCGUCCAUUUUACAGAUCUCGAUUGGUCAAAAAUCAAUAGUUUUUUGAGUACAGCCAAUUCGUUGGAGCUAUUUUAGCUAACAUCGUUGUUUCUUUAGCAAAGAAAUGGAAAGGAAAGGAAAAGGAGAAAAACAACGGGCACUGCAAGCAAAUGCUAGCCUGGUGCUAACCAGACCCUCGUACAGUUCAUUUGUACAGAGGGUCUGGGAUCUCUCCAUUGACAAACGUUAACUUCCUUGA